rnacentral:lncRNA from 1 species
AUGGAUGAAGAGGAGAAAACGUACAUUGGCUGUGAAAGCCCUGAUGCCAAGAUGUCAAAUGAAUAUCUUCUGAAUCAUAAAUAUGUUGUAAAAAGAGAACACGCCCAAACAUCAGGAAGAAGGAAACCCAUGUUGAGUGGCCCAGGUCAUUUUGCUGAGAAUGAAACCAAUUAGGUCAAUUUGAGAGAGAUCUCUUCACAAGUGCUGCCAAAAGCAGGCACGUAUUUUACCUAAAAGUUUCGCUAUACCUACAGCUCCACAGAGAUUCUUAAAUUCCCAUUUCACCUGAAAUGACACUAGAACUGCUGAGGCUGUGAACUUCCUAGAUUGUUAA